rnacentral:rRNA from 1 species
AAAGAAAAUAACAAUGAUUCCCUCAGUAACGGCGAGCGAAGAGGGAUAAGCUCAAAUUUUAAAUCUGUUGGGUUCCACUUAACAGAGUUGUAUUUUGAAGAAACGUUUUCUGCAUCCAGGAUUAGCCUAAAUCCUUUGGGAUAAGGUAUCAUGGAGGGUAAGAAUCCCGUUCAUGGUUAAUCUUAAGGAAGCUCUACGAUACGUUUUCCAAGAGUCGAGUUGUUUGGGAUUGCAGCUCAAAAUGGGAGGUAAAUUUCUCCUAAGGCUAAAUAUUGGCGAGAGACCGAUAGCGAACAAGUACCGUGAGGGAAAGAUGAAAAGAACUUUGAAAAGAGAGUUAAACAGUACGUGAAAUUGUUGAAAGGGAAACGAUUGAAG